GACGAACGCUGGCGGCGUGCCUAACACAUGCAAGUCGAGCGAAUGAAGUUCCUUCGGGAACGGAUUUAGCGGCGGACGGGUGAGUAACACGUGGGCAACCUGCCUCAUAGAGGGGAAUAGCCUUCCGAAAGGGAGAUUAAUACCGCAUAAGAUUGUAGUACCGCAUGGUACAGCAAUUAAAGGAGCAAUCCGCUAUGAGAUGGGCCCGCGGCGCAUUAGCUAGUUGGUGAGGUAACGGCUCACCAAGGCGACGAUGCGUAGCCGACCUGAGAGGGUGAUCGGCCACAUUGGGGCUGGGCCACGGCCCAGACUCCUACGGGAGGCAGCAGUGGGGAAUAUUGCACAAUGGGGGAAACCCUGAUGCAGCAACGCCGCGUGAGUGAUGACGGCCUUCGGGUUGUAAAGCUCUGUCUUCAGGGACGAUAAUGACGGUACCUGAGGAGGAAGCCACGGCUAACUACGUG
rnacentral:rRNA from 1 species